AGUGAACGCUGGCGGUAGGCCUAACACAUGCAAGUCGAACGGCAGCACAGUAAGAGCUUGCUCUUACGGGUGGCGAGUGGCGGACGGGUGAGGAAUACAUCGGAAUCUACUUUUUCGUGGGGGAUAACGUAGGGAAACUUACGCUAAUACCGCAUACGACCUACGGUUGAAAGCAGGGGAUCUUCGGACCUUGCGCGAUUGAAUGAGCCGAUGUCGGAUUAGCUAGUUGGCGGGGUAAAGGCCCACCAAGGCGACGAUCCGUAGCUGGUCUGAGAGGAUGAUCAGCCACACUGGAACUGAGACACGGUCCAGGCUACUACGGGAGGCAGCAGUGGGGAAUAUUAGACAAUGGGCGCAAGCCUGAUCCAGCCAUACCGCGUGGGUGAAGAAGGCCUUCGGGUUGUAAAGCCCUUUUGUUGGGAAAGAAAAGCAGCAGGUUAAUACCCCGCUGUUCUGACGGUACCCAAAGAAUAAGCACCGGCUAACUUCGUG
rnacentral:rRNA from 1 species